UCUAAAGCGUCGCUAUUUACAAAAAAAAAGACACGUGUUUUGCACGUGUUUGUGAGGCAGCAAUGCAACUGAAUUUUUGGGCAAAAAAUCCCGCCUAACUCUCUGUUUUUUUCGCAGAAUCCCGCCUAACUCUCAACCCACCUCCCACGUUUCUCUCAACCUCCUCCCACCGACAUACCUUGCUGAAACUAACCACCCUCGUCAGAUUUCCGAUGAAUUCGUAUCUCUCCUCCUCACCUUCAGCACCGGCCAUUAACGAAUUCCAUGAAUUCCGUCUUCAACCUUUACGUUAGCAAAGUCAAAUCUCCCAGUAUAAGCUAUCUCACUCCUCAUCCUAUAAAUUCAUGAAAAAGCCCAAUUAUUGAAUUCACAAUUCGCUCAACAAAUUCAAGAUAAAUUCGUUGCUCUCUCUGGUUUUUAAUUGGAGAAAUUCAAGCAUACUCUGGUUUCUUAAUUGCUGCUUCAUCCUCGGUGUUGCCGGAUAUAUUCGCCAGAUAGUUGGUAAUUUGGACGAUAGUUGGAAAGUGGUGAACGUCUGACUUCUUCUUCCGUGUUGUUACUACUGUAGGUAUUGUCUAUCUAUUUCUAAUUUUCAUAGUUUUAAAUUUGCAACUUUUAGUUGGCCUAGAAUCUUUGAAAUUUGGAUACAUGGCAAUGCUUUGUAUAAAGACACACAGACAUUUAGUGAGAUUUAGGUGAUAAUCUCUGACCAAGAUAUCUGGUACUUAGUAUGAAAAAUCUGUUGUCAAUCUUUAAGACACCUAGCUGUACUUGGUUAGUUUAGGUUGUCUUUAGUGAGAAACUUGGUGCAUCAAAUGAGCAUGUUGGAUGAGUUUGCAAAA